CGAACCGCAACUGGCCUGAGCGUGGACGGGUGUCCAGGGACCUGCUUAAAUACAGUUGUUCUGUCACUCACUGGUUGGCAGGUGGAUCCCUCGGAAACGCUGGGAAAGCGCUCGCCUGGCGGUGUCGGGUCGCCCCGGAACCCCACCAGGCGCCCCGGGCGCCGGCCUCGCCUUCUCCGUCCCCACGAGUCCCGGGAGGCGGCGCUGCGGCGUCGGCCCGGCCUGCACCUGGGCACCCUCGGGCCGGCUGCUGUGGGUCGGCGGCGGGACGGCGGGAGCCCCGGAGGCGGGGCGGGGGGACCCGGGACCCAGCCCGCGGGAGGCCGCGGACGCCCAGGACCCGGCGGGCAGCCUCGGCGGCGCCCCCUGCCGGCCACGGACGCGCGCUCCUGGCAGGGAGGCCCCGCCGCCGCCGCCGCCGCCCCCGCCCCCCGCCCCGGGCUUAGGAAGGGGCCCGCGACCGCGCUGCAGCUCCGGCCCGGCCCGGCGCCGCCCCCCCACCCCCGCCCCGGGGACCCCCACUGCCAAGCUCUCUGGUGGCGACUCCUGAUCCUGCCGCAAGGACCAGUGGUGAGAAGAAAAAAAAAAAAAAACCACGUUUGCUUUUCGGGCACACCCCGCUCCCCACCUUCAGAACCCGCGCGGCGUCAUUCCCGCCCUUGCCGGCUCUGCUUUGCUCCCCCGCCCCCCCCGACUUGGGCACCCCAUUCCGUAGGCCUGAGUUUGGAGAAGGGAGUCAGGAACCUGGGGUUUUGCUUGGGCUCCUCGGGGGAUCCAAGGCCGCACACACCGCGCCAGCCCGCAGAAGGCAGGAUUUUCUUUCCGACCCGCUCCCCCGCCCGCCCCUCCCCCUCUGCCCCCCCGGGGCGCCGCCGCAGCGCUUCUGCAGCCCCUCGUCAAGGACCAAGGACGCUGUGUCCCCCGCCCCGCGCCCUUGCUUCUUGGCCCAUUGGCCCAGGGAGAAUGCUGUGGCCUUUGAGGCCCCUUCCCCAGUUCUGGGCUGCCAGAGUCCAGCUCUCCACUCCCUGUGGUCCCCCGCUUGUCACCAGGUCACAGCCAGGUGUGCCCCUUACCACACUCCGAGGUCGCAGCCAAGGGACGUCUGCUAAGCGGCUGCCUGAACGUGGGCAGGCCCGCUCCCGCACCCCUCGCUAUUUCUAUUGUGCCAAGAAAACAGCACCAAAAGGACGCAGUGCAAAUUCCUGCAAAUUCCUACGCUCACACUUCAGAACUUUAAAGACAUUGGAAAGUGUCCUCUUGAUUUAG
rnacentral:lncRNA from 1 species